GACUUUUUUUUUUAUUGUCGUCUCUUUCAAACAAACUUGUUUAACGGUGACUCGUUUUGAAUAGUUUCAGUCAGGUUUCCAUGAAUGAUACACUUAAAGAAGUGAAAUAAUAGAGUGACACGCCAGUGUGGUGUUUGUCUGCAGGACUCGGUGUCGGUUAAACGCAGUGAUGGAUAAAAUCAGUGAGUGGGGACGGGGAAAUGCCCCUCUACAAGCACAAAUCAACACUACUCCCUUGCCACCAGAAGCAAAUAUACAAAAAAACAAAAAAAAAAACCCCCCAAAUGUACAGCGUGCCACAGUCUGGUUUCUCUUCAGGGAUGACGGAAGCAUGUUGGUGUGACCUUGUAAGUUAUGAUUUAGUUAUAUUUGUUUGGUAUUUCCAUUACAGUUUAGGCAAACCACUAGAUGGAGAUGGUGGGAGAUUUUUGACCGAGUCUCUUUAUAAUCGCAGGUUUGAAAGUAUGGGUUCAAACACUUGGUUUUAUUUACAUGUCUCUUAAAUGAGUUAGAUAGACUUUAAAGCAGUUUUGCUAGAUGUUUAUUGCUUUGACUAGUUCAUGACUGCAUGCAGUAAUCACACAAUCACUUUUAUUUAUAUACAGGGCUCAUUUAAAAUACCGAGAUUUGUUUGUUUGGUUAUUACAAACAAACCAAAAAAAACCCCCCCAUCAGAUUCAAUUUAACUCUAGUGUCAUUGCGACAAAGAUGAAGAAAUGCGGUUUGCAUUUAAUGAGGAAAAAGCGUUAUGUGCAAGAAAGAGACUAAAUAAGGUAGGAUGUCUGUUUAUUGACCAGUAACACAUCAACAGCGUCUCUUAACCCUCGUGCGUCCUUAUGGAAAUUUGUCUUUCAUUAUUAUUAUUAUUUUUUACGUCAUUUUGUCUUUGUUAAUGCAAACAGCAUAAAUUUAGCAAAAGGUGCGUGUUUUUAUUGGCAUUUUAAUAUUUCGCCAUCAUUUGCUUUCGUAAAUAUAUUUUAAAGUACACUCAGGACCUUAAGGAUAAAAAUGUCCCCAUUGAAACCCAUUCAAACCGCAAUAUUCAAUCAUAAAAUCAUGCAUUGUGUAUUAAUAGAUUUUUAUUUUGUUGACUAGGUUUCAAAACAUUUGAAUUUUUUUAGAAAUAAUUCUGAAAUGUGUCGUAUUUUCUCAGGUUUAGCCUCUGGGGGAAAUCCAUGCUUUUCCUUUUUUUCUGAUUCUGUUGUAUUAAAGAGUGCCGCGGACUGACUGAAUAAACGAUGCAGCUAUAAUUGUGUGUGUGUGUGGAUGGAUGGAUGGAUAUCAAAGUUGUGGUUUGUAUGUGUGUACUGAAAAUUUCGUGUGUGUGUGAAUAGUUUGAGAGAAAGAAGUGAUAUUGUACUGGAAAUCACAAAAUCCCACCCCAUGUAUACAAGACAAAGAAGGUUCCUGAGCUUUGAAGAUUUUUGCAUUAUGUAAAGAAACUGGCGUUUAAAGGGUUAAAAUUCUGACCAUGAAUGGAUGUUUGAUAAUUGUGAUCAGAACUGAUGCUGGUAAAAAAAAAAAAAAAAAAAAAAAAAGAAAGAAAAGAAAUGAAUACAUAAUAUUUCUGACAGUUUUUUGACAUGGACAUUUUUGCCUUUAUGGACCUGAGUGGUUUUUUUUUUUUUUUAAUCUGGCACUGCAUAAAAUUAUGAAUGCAUCAAAAUGAAUAAUGUUAAUCACUGACUCCUCAAAGACUGUAAUAAUGAAAGUAAAAAUUUCUGCGUAGCAUUUAGUAUAUAGAAAAUAAUUACUCAACAUCAGUGAAAGUGGAAAAAAAAUUAAUGUAUAAUGUUUUUAUGACAGUUUUUGAACAUGGAAGUUUUUGUCCUGUAUGGACCUAUAUGUAAUUAUUUUUUUUUUCGUUGACGCAUUAAAUGUGUUAAAUGUG